rnacentral:rRNA from 1 species
GUGAGGAAUAUUGGGCAAUGGGCGAAAGCCUGACCCAGCCACGCCGCGUGAGUGAUGAAGGCCUUCGGGUUGUAAAGCUCUGUGGGGAGGGAAGAAAAAGCGGGAGAGUAACUGCUCUCGUGUUGACGGUACCUCCUUAGCAAGCACCGGCUAACUCUGUGCCAGCAGCCGCGGUAAUACAGAGGGUACAAACGUUGCUCGGAAUUACUGGGCGUAAAGCGUGUGUAGGCUGACAUGCAAGGCGGGUGUGAAAUCCCAGGGCUCAACCUUGGAACUGCACUCGAAACUGCACGUCUUGAGUACUGGAGAGGGAAGCGGAAUUCCGGGUGUAGAGGUGAAAUUCGUAGAUAUCCGGAGGAACACCAGUGGCGAAGGCGGCUUCCUGGACAGUAACUGACGCUGAGACGCGAAAGCGUGGGGAGCAAACAGGAUUAGAAACCCGUGUAGUCC